UCAGGACGAACGCUGGCGGCGUGCUUAACACAUGCAAGUCGAACGGAAAGGCCCUUCGGGGUACUCGAGUGGCGAACGGGUGAGUAACACGUGGGUGAUCUGCCCUGCACUUUGGGAUAAGCCUGGGAAACUGGGUCUAAUACCGAAUAUGACCACGCUCUUCAUGGGGUGUGGUGGAAAGCUUUUGCGGUGUGGGAUGGGCCCGCGGCCUAUCAGCUUGUUGGUGGGGUAAUGGCCUACCAAGGCGACGACGGGUAGCCGGCCUGAGAGGGUGACCGGCCACACUGGGACUGAGAUACGGCCCAGACUCCUACGGGAGGCAGCAGUGGGGAAUAUUGCACAAUGGGCGCAAGCCUGAUGCAGCGACGCCGCGUGAGGGAUGACGGCCUUCGGGUUGUAAACCUCUUUCACCAGGGACGAAGCGUAAGUGACGGUACCUGAGAGAG
rnacentral:rRNA from 1 species